rnacentral:rRNA from 1 species
AUACGUAGGGCGCGAGCGUUGUCCGGAAUUACUGGGCGUAAAGGGCGCGUAGGCGGCGCUUCAAGUCGUCUGUCAAAUGGGAGGGCUUAACCCUUUUUCGCAGACGAAACUGGAGAGCUUGAGAAGCAGAGAGGCAAACAGAAUUCCUGGUGUAGCGGUGAAAUGCGUAGAUAUCAGGAAGAAUACCAGUGGCGAAGGCGGUUUGCUGGCUGCAUACUGACGCUGAAGCGCGAAAGCCAGGGGAGCAAACGGGAUUAGAUACCCCGGUAGUCCUGGCAGUAAACGAUGUAUGCUGGGUGUGAGACUAGCGAUAGUUUCGUGCCGAAGUUAACGCGAUAAGCAUACCGCCUGGGGAGUACGGUCGCAAGAUUGAAACUUAAAGGAAUUGACGGGG